UGGAGGUUUGGGGCAAUGGAUGGCGCCCCACUAACUUCCCCGAGUUCUACCAGCUCCUUGCUGGAGGCUCGGGCCAGGUUUGCAGAUUGACAUGGGUCAAUUUUGAUGCCUUGGCAUGGUCGCUUUGGUGUGUUACGAAUAAGCUAGUGAUUGAGCACAUAUUUCCUAGCCGGGCCACUGAUGAUACAUAUAAAUUGUGUGGAUUCUUGCAGUUGUGGAGGCCCUUAUCCAAGCGAUGGGAUAGGGCGGUGGUGGACCAACUGACGAGGAGAUAUGAAGAACUGGCGGCUCAUCUCCUGAUGAUUACCUAUCCUCCUUGAGGAUGUAUCUUCUAUUAUGUUCAGGCUUGUUGUUGCUGUGCCCGCAGCGUGAACCUCUUUCUCUCCUCUUGUUUCCCUUGUUUUUUCUUGCUAUGGACUUCCGUUUGUUCGGAUUGGUUGUAUUGUUCAUGCUUUUUAUCUAUAAAGCGGGGCACGAAGUCUUUUUGGGUAAAUGUAGCGAUAUAAAUGAGAUCAGGUGAGGUCAAACUGAUCACCAAUUGAAUUUGCUAUUCUCAGCGCCUUUUCUCGGUGUGACAGUGCUAGACGUUUGAUUUGUUUAAUUAACUACUGAUUGAGUGG
rnacentral:lncRNA from 1 species